rnacentral:rRNA from 1 species
GAUGAACGCUGGCGGCGUGCCUAAUACAUGCAAGUCGAGCGAACGGACGAGAAGCUUGCUUCUCUGAUGUUAGCGGCGGACGGGUGAGUAACACGUGGAUAACCUACCUAUAGGACUGGGAUAACUUCGGGAAACCGGAACUAAUACCGGAUGAUAUUUUGAACCGCAUGGUUCAAAAGUGAAAGACGGUCUUGCUGUCACUUAUAGAUGGAUCCGCGCUGCAUUAGCUAGUUGGUAAGGUAACGGCUUACCAAGGCAACGAUGCAUAGCCGACCUGAGAGGGUGAUCGGCCACACUGGAACUGAGACACGGUCCAGACUCCUACGGGAGGCAGCAGUAGGGAAUCUUCCGCAAUGGGCGAAAGCCUGACGGAGCAACGCCGCGUGAGUGAUGAAGGUCUUCGGAUCGUAAAACUCUGUUAUUAGGGAAGAACAUAUGUGUAAGUAACUGUGCACAUCUUGACGGUACCUAAUCAGAAAGCCACGGCUAACUACGUG